rnacentral:lncRNA from 1 species
CUUUCUUUGUUCAAGAAUCAGUGUAACUCCAAUAAGAAAUUUAUAGGUAUGAAGCAAUAAAUUUGUUCUAAAACAUAGGUUUUGUUUUUGAAACUUAUCUAAUUUUGUUCGUUUGAUUAACUGGCGUCCCCAACCUCUUUAUCCUCCAUCAAAAUUAUAGGGUAAUUCACCUUACGAAGACAGCAACAACCGGAUACUUCCGACAUACCAACUACUGCUUAGAAACACCAGGUGCGCUAUUGUAUAAAGUUAAUUAUGAUAUAUGUAUGUAUUUUUGCUGAGCAAUUCCAUUUUCUUUCCUUCAUACAGAUCAAAUAAACCUAAGCUGAGCUAUGAUAUUGUGCUUAAAUACCAAGUCUGACUUCAGUUGACUAAUGUUUGGUUGAAUUUUAUGCUUUAACAGUAGUUAUUUCUCAUAGUGCUGGUUGGAGUUUCUUAGCUUUGUUGUCAUAAUUAUUUCUUACAGGAAAUUUAGGUUGUAGAACUCGAGCUUUUAUAUAAUUAAAGAGGAAGAAUAGAGAUUGGAGAAAAAAACAAAGAAAAUAACAAAAUAAAGGUAUUUUUUUUUAACUAUCAAUGGUAUUUCUUAUCUGAUGUCAAUAAUUGUUUCUUGAAUUUGCAAUUGUAGAAGAAUAUGAAGUUUUAUUUACGUUACACAUAUCAGUUCCACUGGGCGCUGGUUCCAUAUUUUGACCAUUAAAGAGUCAAACCAGAUCUGUCAUUAUUUUCAAUAAAUUUUAAUUUUUUUGUCAUUUUCUUUUGAUGUUUUACCCUAAUUUCGAAAAUAGGCCAACAAGGAGAAUGGAGGAAUCUAUAGAAACAAUUCU